rnacentral:ncRNA from 1 species
GAAGAUAGAGGCGCGGUACUCAAGAGUAACACGGUUAAAGGUUGCCACCUUCGUGUGAAAGGGUUUAUCGCCGAGGUUUAUGCGUUUUGGCAAAAGCGUAUGCGCCGGGAUGCCGGAUAAUAUCCUGCGUACUGUCACUUAGGUGGAGAGCUAUC